UCCUUGAUGGCUGAGCAGGUAAUAGAAUCUGCCUGCAAGGCAGGAAACUUGAGUUCGAUUCCUAAGCUGGGAA
rnacentral:tRNA from 1 species